UGUCAAUUAAAUGACACAAGAAUGUUAAAUAUUCAAGCAAGAACCUCGGCAUCACCAUCUUGUUCCUUCUUCCAUGCCCAGCGGAGAAACUGCCAGAAAUUAAUAGCAGUGAUACUGGGGUUCUUGUUCGUGGAGUCGAAGGAUGAACUUUGCAAACACUCAAGGUGAUAUUAGUUGAGAGUAUCAAGUCUGGAGAACUGCAUCUCACGUAAUGACAGCCAGUCUGGAGCUUUAACAUCUCAGGAACCAAAUGAAAUAAAAAUGGUGAAACUAUACAGCAACGUUGGUUCCCUAGCCUACUCACAGUGUCGCCAAACACGUAUAAAGGUGCAAACGCUGACGUUAACCGUGCGCCUCUACAACAAACU